UAUUUAGAUAGCUGUCAUAAGGUUCUACGGAACAUGGGGAUUGUGAAGACCAAUGGGGUCGACUUUGCUGUUUCUCGUCUGUCAGGUUCUGCCACGACAUGGUAGAGAGAUUAUUGUUUGGCUAGACCAGAUGGGUCACCGGCUUUGACUUGGCACCAUUUCUCUUAGUUAUUUAUAGAUAAAUUUCUUCCUAUCACUCCGAGGGAGGCCUAUCAGCAAUAAUUUAAGCAUCUUUAGCAGGGUUCUAUGACCGUCGCUCAGUACGAGACCAGAUUCAUUGCCUUUGACUGUCAUGAUCUUAUUAUACAUCCCACCGUGAGAGAGAGAGAGGCUGAUAAGGUUUAUUGAGGGACUAGCUUAGCAUAUCCGAUAGUAGAUGGCUAAGGAGAUAAGGAGUGAGAUUUCUUUCCAAGAUGCAACCAAUAUGGCCAGACGAGUUGAGAUGAUUCCAUUACAAGAAAGUGGUCAGGAGUUUGACAAGAGGCCCCGUCAUUCUGGCAGGGAUUCUUUUGAUAUGGGCCAUCAUCAUAGGUCGAUUCAUUUAGAACUUCAGGAUUCUCACGCUGCUCUAGGUGGCCCUGGUUCUCAUAUGCAGUAUUUCUGAUCAGUUGUCCUACCGUCCACCACCAGCUCCUAUCAGUGCACCACCUAUCCAGAGUUUUCAUGGAGGUUACUCAGGCCGUUAGGGCCAGUAGGGGUCAGUAGUCCCAGUAGGCGAGAGCUUGUUAUUGUUGUGGUGAUAAGAGGUCCAUUCCUAAGUUAUGACCUCGAGCUUCAAGUAGUUCUCAGCACUAGCGUUCUCGUGCUAUGGUUCCAGCACCGGGUGUUCCACCGCCCGCUCAUCCAGUUAGAGGUAGGGGUCAAGGUAUUAGAGGCGGAGGUCUGGCUGUUAGAGGUGGAGGUCAUGUAGCUAGAGGUGGAGGCCAGCCAACAGGAGGUCGUUCUCAGGAUGUAGUUUAGAGUGGUGGGCCCCAGCUAUGAUGUUAUGCUAUCCCAGCCAGACCUGAGGCUAAGGCCUUCGAUGCAGUUAUCACAGUUAAGGUUUCAGUUUUCAGUAGGGAUGAUUCAGUUCUAUUUGAUCCAGGGUCCACAUAUUCCUAUGUGUCAUCUUAUUUUGCCCCUUAUCUAGUUGUGCCCCAUGAUUCUUUGAGUGCUCUUGUAUAUGUGUAUAUAAUGAUGGGUGAUUCUAUUAUGGUAUAUCAAGUCUAUCGUUUAUGUGUGGUUGUUAUUGGGGGUCUUGAGACCAGCGUAGAUCUCCCGCUUCUCGAUAUGAUGGAUUUCGAUGUCAUCUUGGGGAUGAAUUGGUUAUUCCCUUAUCAUGCUAUCUUGGACUGCCAUGCCAAGAUCAUGACCUUAGCAUUGCCGGGGUUGCCAUAUUUGAAGUAGCGAGGGACUCCUGGUCAUUUUACCAGCAGGGUUGUCUCAUAUAUGAAGGCUCGCCGUAUGGUUGAUAAGGGAUGUUUAUCCUAUUUGGCGUAUGUUCGUGAUUCUAGCAUUGAGGUUCCUUCUAUGGAUUCUGUGCCCGUUCUCCGUGAGUUUCCCAAGGUAUUCCCUAUAGACCUGUCGCGUAUGCCACCCAAUAGGAAUAUUGACUUUUGCAUUGAUUUGUCUUUGGGCACUCUGCCCAUUUCUAUUCCGCCCUAUCGUUUGGCCCUGCCAUAGUUGAAAGAAUUGAAAGAACAGUUGCAAGAAUUGCUUGAUAAAGACAUUAUUGGGCCUAGUGUCUUGCCUUGGGGUGAGCCGAUGUUGAAACACUAUGAUAUCACCAUCUCUUAUCAUCUUGGGAAGGCCAAUGUAUUGGCUGAUGCUUUGAGUAGGAAGUCAGCAGUACGGCAGUCUUUCGUACAUUCCGAUCAGCGAGAAACCGCUUGCUUUGGAUGUUCAGGCUUUAGCCAAUCAGCUCGUGAGGUUGGAUGUUUCUGAGCCCAGCCGUGUUCUAGCUUGCACCGUUACUCAUUUUUCAUUAUUUAAGCGUAUCUGAGAUCAGUAGUAUGAUGAUCUUCAUUUGCUUGUCCUUACAGAAACGGUGCGACACGGGGGUACCAGGCAGGUUACAUUUGGAGAUGAUGGAGUUUUAAGGAUGCAAGGUCGUAUUUGUUUGCCUAAUAUGGAUGGGCUUCGUGAGUUAAUUCUAGAGGAGGCCCAUAGUUCCUGGUACUCUAUUCAUCCUGGUGCUGCUAAGAUGUACCCGGAUUUGUGGCAGCAUUAUUGGUGGAGGAGGAUGAAGAAGGAUAUUGUUGUGUAUGUAGCUCGAUGUUUGAAUUGUUAGCAGGUAAAGUACGAGCAUCAAAGACCUGGUGGUUUAUUACAGAAGAUUCAGAUCCCUGAGUGGAAGUGGGAGCGUAUCGCUAUGGAUUUCAUUGUUGGACUUCCACAGACUCAGUCACUCAGAGGAAGUUUGAUAUAGUAUAGGCUAUUGUGGAUAGGCUGACCGAGUUAGUGCAUUUCAUUCCAGUGGUAGUUUCCUAUUCUUCGAAGCGGUUGGUUGAGAUCUAUAUUUAGGAGAUUGUUCGUCUUCAUGGUGUGCGUGUGUCUAUCAUUUUUGAUUGAGGUACGAAGCUUUUCUCCCAUUUACGGAGGGCAGUUGAGUUGGGUACACGAGUCGAGUUGAGCACAUUAUUUCAUCCUCAGACGGACGGACUGUCCGAGCAUACUAUUCAAAUUUUGGAGGAUAUGCUCUGAUCAUGUGUUAUUUACUUUGGAGGUUCUUAGGAUCAGUUCUUGCCAUUAAUAGAGUUUUCCUACAACGGCUGUUAUCAGUCGAGCAUUCAGAUGGAUCCAUGCGAGGAAUAAUAUGGUAGGUUGUGUCGGUUGCCGAUUGGAUGGUUUGAGCCGGAAGAGGCUCGAUUGCUGGGUACAGACUUAGUAUAGGAUGCCUUGGAUAAGUCUAAGAUUAUUUAGGAUAGACUUUGUACAUCUCAGUCCAGGUAAAAGCAUUUUGCCGACUGUAAGGUUCAUGAUGUGGCAUUCUUGGCCUGAGAGCGCGUGUUGCUUUAGGUGUCGCCCAUAAAGGGAGUGAUUUGGGAAGAAGGUCUAGCUAAGCCCUAGGUUCAUUAGGCCUUUUGAGAUCCUUGAUAGAGUGGGAAAGGUGGCUUACCGACUUGCGUUUCCACAAAGUUUAUCAGCUCUGCAUCUAGUGUUUCAUGUGUUCAUGCUUCAGAAGUAUCACGACAUUCCAUCCAAUGUGGUAGACUUCAGCACUGUCCAGUUGGACAAGGACUUAACCUUUGAGGAGGAGCCGAUAGCUAUUCAAGAUCGGUAGGUUCAUCAAUUGAUAUCGAAGAGUUGUCCUUCAGUUCAUGUUCAAUGGAGAGGUUAGCCUACCGAGGUUGAAAAAUCCUAAUCCAUCAACAUUGUUUAAUACACUAAUGUGUCGAAAUCCGGCUUCGAGUUCAGGGGUUCGCACAAAUAGCCUCAUGCUUAAGAGAAAGCAGCCCAAAAUAAGGGCCCUUCAUAUAAGACCCAAAAUGGAAAAGCAGUCCCAGAUCAGGACUAAACUAAUCAUCCACACAAGGUCCAAAACAAUCUGGCUUCAGUAUAAUAACAUGCCCUAUUGAACAAUUGCACCCACAAUCAAAAUACUAGUGGUCUAUUACCAAUUUGGUUCGUUUUAAUAACAUACAGACUAGAUGAGUUUCUUCAAAAUAUUUAUAAAGAUCGAAGACAUUAAAGUAAAUAGAACUCAGAAAAUACCACGAAAUGGAAUUUAACUACACCUUUGUUAGAUUAGCAAGAGUAUUUGUGGAGUCUGAAAUCUGAAUUUUCAAUUCUUAACAUCAGGGUCUAUUUGAUUCUAUGAAAGUGUGAUACAUAAACUCAUAUUCAAGUUUCAUUUCUGGUCAACAUCUAUUUUAUCUGAAACCUCGAACCCACAGGCGAAUCAUCAGUCAAUUAAUGGUCUAUAUAAUUCAAAUUAAUACAAAAUAGUUAAUCAUCUAAUGAGUAAUUAUGCAGUUCCAAUCGAAAGUCCAAACCAGUCUAAAUAACUUUUAGAAACAACCUUACUUAUACAGUCAUAUGCCUGUUACUCAUGUAACACAAAACAAUGGCUAACAUCAAUUACACACAUUUCAUUGACAUCUAUUAAAUUAAAUUCAGUCUCGAUAGCUCAGAUCUGGUGAAACUUUUCAAUUCCACUUCAACUUCAAAGUUACAUUAGGAUAAUUGAGGAAGUGUACUUGGAAGUAAAACAACGAAGAGGAAGAAAAGAUCAGCAGCAAGUAGCAAACAGCUAUUGUCCAGCAAUCACAAACAGCAAUAGAACACAAUUGAUCUCAGCCCAGAAAUAACAUAAUUGAUCUCAGCCCAGAAAUAACUCAAUGAUCCCAGAAAUACUUUAAAACCAUACGAGAUUGAGUAUCAGCUUCUAAACAGAACCAAUACGGCCCAAAAAUAAACACAGAAGGUCAUAUAACACUUUCAGCAAUCAAAAAAACUUCAGUAACAAACUCGAUUAAGCCUCAGAUCUCUUCAGAUGCUUUGAACUUUGACUAUAUGACAGAAACAGAGAGAUCCGAACUAUGUUUAAGCCUAGAUGAGUUAACUAAUUGAAUUAGGAACUGAAACUUGAAGGAUGAUUAAUGUAACAAUGCUUUUUUUUUUGGAUUUUUGGAGAUUUUCUAUUGUUUUUUUGGUUUUCUGGAGUUUGAAUUUCAAAUAUUAGAUCUGAAGAUUGGAGAUCACACUUGAGGGAAUUUGUGAGCUCCCCAAACUUAUCAAUGAAUGCCUUGAGGUUGCCUUUUAUAGGCAAAAAAUA
rnacentral:lncRNA from 1 species